rnacentral:rRNA from 1 species
GACGAACGCUGGCGGCGUGCUUAACACAUGCAAGUCGAACGGAAAGGCCCUGCUUGCCGGGUACUCGAGUGGCGAACGGGUGAGUAACACGCGGGUGAUCUGCCCUGCACUUCGGGAUAAGCCUGGGAAACUGGGGCUAAUACCGGAUAGGAGCCAUUUUGAGUGUGAUGGUUGGAAAGAAUUUUUGGUGUAGGGUGAGCUCGCGGCCUAUCAGCUUGGUGGUGGGGUAAUGGCCUACCAAGGCGGCGGCGGGUUGCCGGCCUGGGAGGGUGGACGGCCACAAUGGGACUGGGGAUCGGGCCAGACUCCUAAGGGGGGCAGCAGUGGGGAAGAUUGCACAAUGGGCGCAAGCCUGAUGGAGGGACGCCGCGUGGGGGGUGACGGGCUUCGGGUUGGAAACUCCUUUCGCUAGGGACGAAGCUUUUUGUGACGGUACCUAGAAAAGAAGCACCGGCUAACUACGUG